AGCAGCCGCGGUAAUUCCAGCUCCAAUAGCGUAUAUUAAAGUUGUUGCAGUUAAAAAGCUCGUAGUUGAAUUUCGGGGUUAGUAAGCUGGUCAUGCCCUCGGUAUGUACUGGCUUUACUGAUUCCUCCUUCUUGACGAACCGUGAUGUCAUUAAUUUGGUGUUGCGGGAAAUCAGGACUGUUACUUUGAAAAAAUUAGAGUGUUUAAAGCAGGCUAACGCUUGAAUACAUUAGCAUGGAAUAAUGAAAUAGGACGUUAAUCCUAUUUUGUUGGUUUCUAGGAUCGACGUAAUGAUUAAUAGGGAUAGUUGGGGGCAUUAGUAUUCAAUUGUCAGAGGUGAAAUUCUUGGAUUUAUUGAAGACUAACUACUGCGAAAGCAUUUGCCAAGGAUGUUUUCAUUAAUCAAGAACGAAAGUUAGGGAUCGAAGACGAUCAGAUACCGUCGUAGUCUUAACCAUAAACUAUGCCGACUAGGGAUCGGAUGAUGUUAUUUUUAAUGUACUCAUUCGGCGCCUUACGG
rnacentral:rRNA from 1 species